ACGGAAGGCAGCAGUGGGGGAUAUUGCACAAUGGGGGAAACCCUGAUGCAGCGACGCCGCGUGAGCGAAGAAGUAUUUCGGUAUGUAAAGCUCUAUCAGCAGGGAAGAAAAUGACGGUACCUGACUAAGAAGCCCCGGCUAACUGCGUGCCAGCAGCCGCGGUAAUACGUAGGGGGCAAGCGUUAUCCGGAUUUACUGGGUGUAAAGGGAGCGCAGACGGCGAGGCAAGUCUGAUGUGAAAGCUCGGGGCUCAACCCCGGAACUGCAUUGGAAACUGUUUUGCUAGAGUGUCGGAGAGGUAAGCGGAAUUCCUAGUGUAGCGGUGAAAUGCGUAGAUAUUAGGAGGAACACCAGUGGCGAAGGCGGCUUACUGGACGAUAACUGACGUUCAUGCUCGAAAGCGUGGGGAGCAAACAGGAUUAGAUACCCUGGUA
rnacentral:rRNA from 1 species